rnacentral:rRNA from 2 species
CCUUGACCUCAAAUCGGGUGAGACUACCCGCUGAACUUAAGCAUAUCAU